UUAGCGUGGGAGCAGGUCAGACACAAACCACUAACUCCUCCGGCCACACAAAGUGCUCCUUAGGUAGUACUAACCUUGUUUGCCCUUGGCAGGGGCCAUUUCCAAGGACUGUUUAGCUUUGUCAGGGGGUUCCUCUUAACAUUUGUCAAUGACCAUUGUCAGGUGUUGCUAGGGUUGCAGGAGAAAGGUUUCAGUUGAUUGGCCAGGCCACUGUAUACUUUAGCCAAUCCGAAUGCUGUGCCCGGGGGAGGGGGAGCUUAGCAAGAUAGAACAAUAUCAGUACAGGCAGACACAUUCCGUGUACUAAUAAGGCGUCUGGAAUUACAGUGUGCAGGAAUACUAUGCUCUGCACAGCUCCAGCCAUGGCCUAGUAGCUGCUCAAAAACAUUACAGUGCGAGUUAAAAGUCAUUCCCCCUGAUUGGAGGCUAUCACGAUUUCAAAAGAGGGGAGUAGCUAUUGUAAGGAGGAAGUAAAACUCCUUGCUCAUUGUGUUUUAUAGCCUUCCUUAGUAAAACUGCUGAAUUGUAAUUUGAAAUAUUCCACCCUUUCAAAUAAAUUAAGUGCAGCGCUUAAAAACAGGAAACGAGAGAGGCACACUUGUAUUGUCAACUAAACAGUCACAGGCCUUGCACCGCAAAGUCAAGCUGGAAAAAAAAUCACACAAGUCUUAUGAAUUCAUUUGAGAACGGUGACAAGGGUCACCACCAAGGGAAACGUUGUGCCUCUGACAGUGUGUUGAAACCUACAUGGUAAUUAUGAAAUUAAUGGAAGAGAAAUCAUCAGCUUGAAAGGAAGUUUGGAUCUGGCCUGAUUUUAGGUAGUGGAAGAUUCAGAGUGGGUGGAACGAAGAAGGAAGUAGCUCCCUUGACCACUGCGGGCGAUGGCUGAGCCUUUGCAAAGUCUGGCUCUCCUAACAGAUGUUCCCACUGACCUCAGGUUCCGAGUCAGAACCAGAGCGAUCUCAGCUUCAAACUUCCUAUGAAAGUUCACAAGGCUCACAGUCCUGAGUCUGCAAACAUGUAGAAGAUCUGGCCCACUCCACAAGUGAAGACUUCUUCAGCCUCUCCAUUAGCCCUUCACAAGGCAAUAGAAUUCUGAGAAAUGAGAGCCAGGGAAGAUGCCAAUGAGGUUUGGAGACUUCCUAUGAGCUAAUUCAUAGUAUCUGUUUUCUUUGACUUCACUGGAAGGUCAUAUUCCACAGAGAGCAGCAGCCCCACUGCCCGCUUAGGAUUCUCCACCACACCUCACUCAACAACCGCCUGAGUGUCUAUGCCCAACAGUUAAUACCCAGUGCCCCAGGGAACAUCAUCAGCAUCACCAUCUUCAUUGACACCCAAUUCUACAAGUUGUGAAGAACCAAGUUUUCUUGGGAGUGCCCGGCUAUGAGUCACAGACUCAUUGGCUUCCAUGUGGAGUCAUUUUCUGCUGUAAUUAAUUUUUACCCGCUGUGCACGUUCCUGAAGUUGGAGGUACCUAAUGCUUGCUACGGAUUCACAUCCAAUUUCACAAUACUAUGAAAUCACUUCAACAGUUUCCAAGGCGAUCUCCGUUUUACCCAGGCAAUUCUACUACUGUUGUCAUUUAAGUCUGCUUGAAAUAUCUUAAUAGUACCAUCCCCACCUCCUUCUGAUUGCUUGUUUCCAAGUGGAAGGAAUUCUUAUGAUGUAAUAGGGUGGUGAGGAGAGUUUGCUUUAGUGCAGGCAAGUUAUUCCAUGUUGUAUUUGAGUCAGUUAUUUGCAUCUGGUCUCUAUUUGUUAACAUCAAGGGGCUGUGUUUGUAUAACUACCUUGAAUUAUGAAAAGGCUUGCACUUUGAAUGAUUAAUACAUAUGUGCACACCACAUGUACCAAUACACAGCCAUCACCAUCAUCCUCACCAUUACCAAUAAAUAAGUUCCAAGCUAGAAAUACCAGUCUGGGGAAAGCUGUACUGUGCCUACUAUUAUGAGAGAGGGAGAGGGAGAGAGAGAGAAAGAGAGAGAGAGAGAGAGACAGAGACAGAGACCGAGACAGGGAGAGGAGAGACAGAGAGAUAGAAAGACAGACAGAAGAGAGACAAGUAGACAGAUGUACACACAGUGAGAUGGAUAGAGAGAUACUUAAAGUCUAUCACGAAGCCUUUCUGGUUUCAAUUUCACCCUCUCCUUUUGAAAUAAGAUCCAGUAGCCCCAGCCCUCCAUCAAGAGUAAAGUAGCAGGAAGUGGCAUGAUAGACCACCCAAGAACUGAGGUGUCUGAUGCAGAAGGGAAAAGUUCAAUGAAAACUUAAAGAUGACAUCAAGCCUGGUACUCAGGCUCGUAUUUCCCCCCUGUGAAGUUCCCUUUGCUUCAGUCCUGGGGUCAUCAUCUUGCCAGAGAGACCUGGGCUCCGCUGCUUCCCAUGUGCACACCUAAGCCCCAAGGCAGUAGACAACCAGCCCUUUCAAAACCAGGGCUUUCAAGUCCUUGAGCAAGGUCCCUGUCUCUAGUCUCCUCAGGAUGUCUGCUGUCUUCCUUUCACACACAUUUCUUAUCACCAUCUGAUGUGUUCUGUCACUUCCAUUAAACUCCGAAGCUCCUGAAGACAAAGAUCA